AGCCAGACUCCUACGGGAGGCAGCAGUGGGGAAUAUUGCACAAUGGGGGGAACCCUGAUGCAGCGACGCCGCGUGGGUGAAGGAGCACCUCGGUGCGUAAAGCCCUAUCGGCAGGGAAGAAACAGACGGUACCUGACUAAGAAGCCCCGGCUAACUACGUGCCAGCAGCCGCGGUAAUACGUAGGGGGCAAGCGUUAUCCGGAUUUACUGGGUGUAAAGGGAGCGUAGACGGCGGUGCAAGCCAGAUGUGAAAGCCCGGGGCUCAACCCCGGGACUGCAUUUGGAACUGUGCUGCUAGAGUGUCGGAGAGGCAGGCGGAAUUCCUAGUGUAGCGGUGAAAUGCGUAGAUAUUAGGAGGAACACCAGUGGCGAAGGCGGCUUACUGGACUGUAACUGACGUUGAGGCUCGAAAGCGUGGGGAGCAAACAGGAUUAGAUACCCGAGUAA
rnacentral:rRNA from 1 species